CAUGCAAGUCGAGCGGUAACAGAAAGUAGCUUGCUACUUUGCUGACGAGCGGCGGACGGGUGAGUAAUGCUUGGGAAUAUGCCUUUACGUGGGGGACAACAGUUGGAAACGACUGCUAAUACCGCAUAAUGUCUUCGGACCAAAGGAGGGGACUCUUCGGAGCCUUUCGCGUAUUGAUUAGCCCAAGUGGGAUUAGCUAGUUGGUGAGGUAAUGGCUCACCAAGGCGACGAUCCCUAGCUGGUUUGAGAGGAUGAUCAGCCACACUGGGACUGAGACACGGCCCAGACUCCUACGGGAGGCAGCAGUGGGGAAUAUUGCACAAUGGGCGAAAGCCUGAUGCAGCCAUGCCGCGUGUGUGAAGAAGGCCUUCGGGUUGUAAAGCACUUUCAGUUGUGAGGAAGAGGUAAAGGUUAAUACUCUUUAUCUUUGACGUUAGCAACAGAAGAAGGACCGGCUAACUCCGUGCCAGCAGCCGCGGUAAUACGGAGGGUCCGAGCGUUAAUCGGAAUUACUGGGCGUAAAGCGUACGCAGGCGGCUUGUUAAGCCAGAUGUGAAAUCCCCGGGCUCAACCUGGGAAUGGCAUUUGGAACUGGCAAGCUAGAGUUUUGUAGAGGGUGGUAGAAUUUCAGGUGUAGCGGUGAAAUGCGUAGAGAUCUGAAGGAAUACCAGUGGCGAAGGCGGCCACCCUGGACAGAUACUGACACUCAUGUGCGAAAGCGUGGGGAGCAAACAGGAUUAGAUACCCUGGUAGUCCACGCCGUAAACGAUGUCUACUAGGUGUCUGUGACCUUGAGUCGUGGCUAUCGGAGCUAACGCGUUAAGUAGACCGCCUGGGGAGUACGGUCGCAAGAUUAAAACUCAAAUGAAUUGACGGGGGCCCGCACAAGCGGUGGAGCAUGUGGUUUAAUUCGAUGCAACGCGAAGAACCUUACCUACUCUUGACAUCCAGAGAACUUUUCAGAGAUUCAUUGGUGCCUUCGGGAACUCUGAGACAGGUGCUGCAUGGCUGUCGUCAGCUCGUGUUGUGAAAUGUUGGGUUAAGUCCCGCAACGAGCGCAACCCUUAUCCUUGUUUGCCAGCACGUAAUGGUGGGAACUCCAGGGAGACUGCCGGUGAUAAACCGGAGGAAGGUGGGGACGACGUCAAGUCAUCAUGGCCCUUACGAGCAGGGCUACACACGUGCUACAAUGGCGCAUACAGAGGGAUGCCAACCAGCGAUGGCGAGCGAAUCCCAAAAAGCAUGUCGUAGUCCGGAUUGGAGUCUGCAACUCGACUCCAUGAAGUCGGAAUCGCUAGUAAUCGUAGAUCAGAAUGCUACGGUGAAUACGUUCCCGGGCCUUGUACACACCGCCCGUCACACCAUGGGAGUGGGCUGCAAAAGAAGUGGGUAGUUUAACCUUCGGGAGGACGCU
rnacentral:rRNA from 1 species